rnacentral:rRNA from 1 species
UACGUAGGGUGCGAGCGUUGUCCGGAAUUAUUGGGCGUAAAGAGCUUGUAGGCGGUUUGUCGCGUCUGCUGUGAAAAUCCGGGGCUCAACCCCGGACUUGCAGUGGGUACGGGCAGACUGGAGUGUGGUAGGGAGACGUGGAAUUCCUGGUGUAGCGGUGGAAUGCGCAGAUAAUCAGGAGGAACACCGGUGGCGAAGGCGGGUCUCUGGGCCGAUACUGACGCUGAGGAGCGAAAGCGUGGGAGCGAACAGG